GCAAGGUAUUUGUUAAUCCAUAUGGAAAGAGGCCACCAAAAUCCAGUUUACAUCCGAGAAUAAACAUUGCUUCUUUAAAAAAUCUAGAAAUGAUAAAAAAUUUUGAAAUACAUUUAAAUUCAAAGCUUGCAGAAAUAGAGGAAUGCCUAAAAAUGUGGUGGCACAAUAUACGUGACAGCAUCAAAUCAUCUGCUAAAGUAGUUCUAGGAUUUGUGAAGCACAAACACCAACAAGAAUGAUUCUCAAAUUAAACCUCUCCUAGAAACUUUGCACAAGAGACAAAAGACAUGGAUCUCAGACAAAAAUUUGCCAACAUCCAGAUUCCUAUACAUCUCUAGAGAAAAUCUAUGCAGAAAACUGCAUGAGAUGAAAAGUUUGGUGGACGAAACAAGCCCAAGAAUUGGAACAGGCUGCUAACUCUCACAACUUGAGAACACUGUAUAACAUUCUGAAAAAUGUGUUUGGUCCAAAAAAAGGUAGUACAGAAUCUAUUCUCUCUAACGAUGUAACACAACUCAUAAGUAGGAAAGAUGAAAUUCUAAAAAGAUUACCUGAACACUUUAAAUCUGUAUCAAAUCAAGAAUCCACUCGCAAUGCUGAAGAACUAGUGGAACAUCCUUCCUUGCAAGAGACAAGUACUGUUAUUGAAAAACUUUCCAAUGGUAAAGAUCUUGGACAAGACGAUAUUCCCAUAGAGGUGUGCAAGCAUGGUAGCAGACAAAUUGUAAAUAAACUGUGCAAAUUGAUCUGUUUGAUCUGGGAAACUGGAUCUGUUCCCCAGCAGUUCAAAGAUGCAUGUAUAAUGCACCUGUACAAAAACAAAAGGAAGAGGAGUCAAUGUGAUAAUCCCCUUUUCCAAUAGAAGAAUAAAGAUAAUCAAAAGAAAGGAGAAAUGUGAUGUUAUUGGCAAGCUAUUCUAGUAUAAUUUAUUUUAUUGAUACCUGUUGGAUUAAAGUUAAAGCUGACUUGUGUGAGAUUUGAACUCAGAAUGCAGAGGAACAGAACUAAAUAGAACAAAGCAUUUAGUCUGGCACUCCAUUCUGGACAUAAUGUUUGGAACAACUGUCCUUCAAAGUUCCGUACCUCAUGGAAAAAGAAAAGUGAGGCACGGAUGGUACUUACAUUAACGCUUCAAAUAAACCUGCUGGAAUAAGACAAAUUUGUGCUCUCAUGAAAAAGUUAUUUCUCAGUGCUGUUUUUUUUUACUACAUGUUUGCGGUUGAUUGCUGCCACUGCUGGAUUUUCCUACUAUUCAAAAUGUCUGAAAAGAAUUCAUAAAUUGGAGCUGAAGGUAGGUGUGCAAAAAGUAACUGAAAAGGAUUACACUGGAUUACGUUUUUACAGGAGGAAAAAAAAUUAAGCGCAUUACCAAAAUAUUGGUUUCAAAUUUUGACACAAGGCCAGCAAUUUCAGGGGAGUGGUUAAGUUGAUUACAUCAACACCAAUGC